UAAGGGUGAAAGGGUGCGGUAAGAGCGCACCGCGCGGCUGGUAACAGUCCGUGGCACGGUAAACUCCACCCGGAGCAAGGCCAAAUAGGGGUUCAUAAGGUACGGCCCGUACUGAACCCGGGUAGGCUGCUUGAGCCAGUGAGCGAUUGCUGGCCUAGAUGAAUGACUGUCCACGACAGAACCCGGCUUAUCGGUCAGUUUCACCU
rnacentral:RNase_P_RNA from 1 species